ACUGGUUGAAAGUUCUCCUUGCAAAUCCUGAACCACCACCCCCACAAUGAUCCCGAACCAAAACUGGACUUCCGCCAUUUCCCCCCUCUCACUCACCGUGAACAGACCAGCACGGCAGCGCCCAAGUCCUCCCAUAGAAAUAGUUCGGUUCUUAGGUGUUCUAACCAACACCAAAGUCUCUUCACUUUACCAAGGGAUCAACAAGUGAGGAUUUGUGGGUCACUUUUAUUAUUUUUAACGGACCGGUGCCAGAAACACUGCCUCAGCAUUUAUACGUAUGUGCAUUUCAAACGAGGGUGCGUACAAUGCUGGAUUUGUUUCACGGCUCCUGUUGGAAAAAAAAGGACCUAUUCCUAAAGUCCGUCAUCCACUCACUGCAGUAAGUACAUGCUUGAUAUUUAUAAUGUUUUAAAAUGUUAGUUUGUCCGUUUAAAAUGUAGUAACCUAUGUGUGAGUCAAGUUACUAGCUAGCUAUGCUAACGGCUACAGCCAUUCGACCGAGCCUUUGUCCCCUUCAAAUGUGCUCAUGUGGGCUCCUGCAGCCACACACCUGUGUGGAGAAAAGCUAAUGACUAUCGGCAUCGAGCGGCUACAGGCAGGGAGCGGUGGGUCUAGCGUCUGUCCUUUUUCUGUAAUCUCAUACACCUGCGGGGAACAGCUGAUCGUUAUCGCCCUUCCAGCGGUGACAGACAGGAAGCGGUGGAUCUAGCUCGCUGUAGAGGGCAAAUCCCAGUUACCUACAUGCAAGGAGGCUGUGAAACAGAGAAAUCACUGCAGACUGUUGGUACACAGACAUCUGCUGCCCAGCUCAGGAGUGAAGGUGAUAAUGAGGACAGCCACAGCUUCCAUCUGGUAGAGGACUGCUUCCGCUCAGUCUUCCAAAUAGUGAUGAGAACAAGGAUCACCACAUCUCCCUGUUUACCCUACUUUCAUGCAUUUCGUCUGCAAGGCCCUGCAAAAGCUUCUCCUUCGUCCUCAAACCCCCAGACUUCUUAAUUAACUCAGUAACCUAUACAUUGCACAUUGGAGUGUGAAGGUAACAGUUUGUUCUAGCUUUGGAGUAGUGGUGUAUUUUUUUGGUUUACAAUAAAGUUGGCUUUAACUAUUA